rnacentral:rRNA from 1 species
UACAUGGGGUGCAAACGUUGCUCGGAAUUAUUGGGCGUAAAGCGCGCGUAGGCGGUUACUUAAGUCGGAUGUGAAAGCCCUCGGCUUAACUGAGGAAGUGCACCCGAAACUGAGUAGCUAGAGUACGAAAGAGGGUCGCGGAAUUCCCGGUGUAGAGGUGAAAUUCGUAGAUAUCGGGAGGAACACCGGUGGCGAAGGCGGCGACCUGGGUCGAGACUGACGCUGAGGCGCGAAAGCGUGGGGAGCAAACAGGG